CGGCGGGCCCCUGAAGCGCGUGGCGGCGGGCGCGGGCGGCGGCCCCGCGGAGCGCUCGGCGCCGCUCAAGAAGCCGCGGCGCGCGGGCGCGGACGACGAGGACGCGGACACCGACGGCGUGGCCCAGCUCGUCAGCGUCUUCGGCUCCGGCUUCUCGGGACUGGUGCGGGAUGAGGCGGCGGAGGCGGCGGAGCCGCGCGCGCUGAGGGACCUGCGGCCCCGGAGCGCGGCCGUCGUGGCCCUCUAGGGCCCGGCCGCGGGCGCGGGUCCACUGCCCCGCAGCUCGCCGGAGGAGGCCCGAUGGACGCCCGCAUUCCGCGGCGGAGCGCACCCAAGCCGGCGCGGGAGCGCCCUGCGGGCCUCCGGCCUUUGUUGUAUAAAGGUCGGGAGCCAGGCGGGGUUUGUGCGGCGUGUUCUCCGUGGUCGUGUCGGGUUUUGUAUGAAGACGUACUUGCGUGUCCCACGCGUAUUAAAUAUUUUGGAGCAGCGUCACUGCCUGGUCUGUUGCGGGGGAGGCGCGGCGAGAGGCGCUGAUGCCCUGGCCCGCAGCCCCUCUGCGGACCCUGUGCGAUGUAAGGCCAGGCUUACGGUGUCUGAUUAAUGCGGACUAGUGUAGCUGUCAUACACAUACCAAAAAAGUUUUCUUAGCGGUGCUUUUGUCUUUGUGCAUCUUCUGUUGUUACUGAAAAGGGAAAAAAAAAGAAAACUGGUCUCGGUAAUAGCUUGCUUUAGGAGCCUGUCUGGAUCCGACCUGAGCCGUCCAGGCCCGGUGAAUGUCAGGAGGGAAAUCCCGUCUGCUGUGAAAUUGUAGAAAACACGUUGGUGCAAGGGGACUUCCUCGGUCAACCAGAGAAGCUAGGCAGGUGCAUGUCGGGAAGCAGAAAUUCCAGACUUUGUCCCCAAGUGGUGACAUCAUUGUUCCGGGCGUGGUGACAGCCAAGGCACCUCUAGGUUUGACUACAAUCAUUGUUCAAAGCUGUCUAAAGGAAAAUGUUCAGUGGUUGAAAGAGACACAGUAUUUCAGAAGCAAGCUGAUGAGGGAAUGGUGUCGCCAGUCCCCUAACGGUGGCACUGGCGUAGCAGCUUGGAGUAAACUGAGCAGGAAGUAGACAAAACCGCAGGCUGUGGGCAUUGGGCAGAAGGAGCUGUGAGGGUACCCUGGCCUUAGCUGAACCCCAGCCCUGAGAGCUUUGGUAUUUCUGCAAAUCCAAGUGGUUCCUUGCGCACAGGGAAGUUUCUGUGUUACGUAGUCCUCCAUCUCCAGGGAGGGUCUUGUUAAACUGACUGCUUUUUCCUUCAGAAAUUAGCUACUGAAACUGUUUUGGCCACCAGGGGCCAUUGCGAGUGCUGACUGCUUAACCUGGAGGUGUCCCGGCACUGAUUGUGCAGGCAUUUCCCCUCUUGCACAGUAUCCUGAUACAGCUAGCGUUUGCUGAGGGCAGGGGAGAUGCUUUCAGCGAGACCAGAGUUCCUGCUGAUUCUUGGGUCUGCACUGAGAUGAACCCUCGACCAUGAGUCUGCUUGAUGGAAGUGUAAGUGGACAUCGGUGACAGGGAGGACGCCUUGCAGGGGUCAGAAAACACCGCUCUCUUCUGCUGUAGGUGGUGCGAUGGUUAGACAGAGUACUUGGGUGUUUGUGUUGUGUUGUUUUGUCAUCUUAACUCUGCCCUGAGCCAGGAACCUUGGACAAGUUCAUCUCUGUGCCUCCGCACUUUUCAAGUGUGAAACUCAGAUGAUUGUACCUACCUCGUGGCUGUGAGAAUUAAUGUGCGGACACUCUUCAAAAGUGUUUCAUGCGUAGUAAGCACUCAGUGGCCACUCACAUGAAAAAAUACUUGAAAGAUCUCCCACCCACUGGUUCACUCCCCAAAUGCUGUGACAGCUGGGGCUGGGCCAGGCUGAAGCUGGGAGCCUGGAACGCAGUCCACGGUCUCCCGUGUCGGUUCCAGGAACCCAGGUACCUGAGCCCUCACUGCUGCCCCCGGGUGUGCGUUGCAGGAAGCUGGAGCUGGGAGCAGAACUGGGACGGACCCACACACUCCCGAGUGGUGUCUUAGCUUCUGUGCCAAGCGCUGUCCAUGUGGUUGUACAUUGUGUGUAGUUGUGAGAAAGAAGGAAGGAGGAUGUUUUGAAGUUCAGUCUGUGAAUGCUGGGUUGUUUUUCUUCAGGGCACCGAGAGCCAAGAGGCACAGUUUGUGGCCAGGUGUGCUACCCUGAAGCCUUCGGGUUGUGGUUGACAACCUUUGUCGGGGGAGUAAGCAGAGUGAACAACUCUGGAGGGAGCAGAGUGCUGUGGAAUGCAGGUAGUUCCUGUGGGGAGUGAGGGAGACUGGCUCAGUCAUUUUCGGCCUGAGUGCUUGGUAAGCCAUACUCGAUGGGGUCCUGGACGAAAGCCUUCCCACCGCCGAGAUAUGGUUUUCACACAGCUAAGUCAGUGCUGGGACUCCAGGUUUUGGCACCAACCCUGUCUUGACCACCGUGGGAGAGCAGGACCUGGUCGUGUGAUCAAAUUAGCCUUAGUUCUGCUACGGGAAAAAGGCUCUGACAGCCACAUCAAAAAACCAGCUCUCUGAAGUUCUUUUUGAAAAGUACCUCGAGAAAAGUCCAUCUAUCGGGAGUAAGUGAUGUGUCAGCACAGUGCCGUUCAGACGUGUCAGGCUAAACCUGGCCCUUUUCAGAGACUGUCGGUUGUACUUGGGUGGGGGGAUACUAAGCGGGAAGCCUGACCUGCCCCCCAAGUCGCCCAGCUGUGCUGUAUGGCACUCAGUAACCCUGCUCCCGUUCCCCCAGGCUGGAUGUGGGAGCGAGCACUGGGAGGGAAUGGGUCGAGAGGCUUCGUGGGAUAAAGAUGUAGAAGUAUGCGGACGAUGUGAGUGGCAGCUCCGUCUCAUCACUGGCAUCCAGAGCUUGCAAACCUCAGCCUGGCAGCCUGGGCAGCCCGAGCCGGAGCCUGUGUGAUGCAGUUGGCGUGGGGCUUGAUGGACUUUUUUUUCUACUUCAAAAAUUUCAGUUCACUGAAUAACCAAAGAAUUUCUGAUCUCUUGCCCUAAAUAUUUUGCUCUUGUCCUGUUCAUGAAUAUUUUUAUUCCCUAGCCUGCCUUUUAUCACAGCAGUUCUUUCUUGAAAAUGAGAACCAGGGCAACGCUGAGCCAGCCUUCCCAUGACUGAGACACCGUUGCUGCGAGGUGGGAGUGAGGCCACCCGGGGGCCUGGCCCGCCGCGGGAGCAGUUGGCCGCCCAGCCUGUGAGCCGCCAAGCAGAUUUAGAGUUCUACAGUAGAAAGCCUUGGGAGGAAAGCGGCAGCGGCAGCGGCACGGCUGGUGCUGAGUCGCUGUGAAGGCAGGAGUUCGGUGCAGUGGUUUAGAUGCCGCUCAGGACGCCUGCAUCUCCGUUCCUGGCUCCGGCUUCCUGGGAGGCAGCAGGUGAUGGCCCAAGUACAAGGCCCCUGCCCGCUGCGUGGGAGGCCUGGGUGGAGUCCAGGCUCCUGGCUCCAGCCUGGCCCAGCCCAGCAGUUAGAAGAGCUCUCUGUCUUUCACAUAAGGUUGUAAGUUGUGAUCUAACUCAUGCCCCAGAGUUUUCCAGAAACAACUGUUGAAGAUGCAGUCGAGAAUGAGCAUGGGAGAGCAAAGUGUGAAAGGACCCACACAUUCACGAAUGCCUCCAGUUCUUUGAACUUCCGAGUUUUGACAGAUCUCACUGAUUCACUCCCCAAUGCCUGCGACAGUGGGGCUGGGCCAGGAGGAGGCCAGGAGCCUUGAAGUCAGGCUGGGUCUCCCACACGGUGCAGCACCCAAGCGCUCGAGCCACUGCCUCUGCCUGGCAGGAGUGCUUACCAGGACCCAAACCCCGGUUCUCUGGCAUGAGCUGUAGGUGUCCUAGGAGCAACCCUAGCCGCUGCACCGCCUGCUUGUCCUGCUCUCACCUCACCUCCCUCCUCCGUGGGCUGAGGGUUUCAAAAACUUAGUCCCUGUACAGCACGCGCUUUCUCCCAAGAGACACGGGCCAGCGUCCUCACAGGGCUGCACCCCUGGGGACAUCAGCCAGCGUCCUCACUGAGCUGUAUCCCAGAUGACAUUGGCCAGCGCAUCCUCCCUGGGCUGUACCCCAGGGGACAUCGGCCAGCGUCCUCCCUGGGCUGCACCCCAGGGGACAUCGGCCAGUGCGUCCUCCCUGGGCUGCACCCCAGGGGACAUGGGCCAGUGUGUCCUCCCUGGGCUGUACCCCAGGGGACAUCGGCCAGCGUCCUCACAGGGCUGCACCCCAGGGGACAUCGGCCAGCGUCCUCCCUGGGCUGCACCCCAGGGGACAUCGGCCAGCGUCCUCACAGGGCUGCACCCCAGGGGACAUCGGCCAGCGUCCUCCCUGGGCUGUAUCUGGAGUUUGCCUCAGACCUCUGGAUCCCUGCAGGAAGGAGAAGCCUCCAGGGCUGCAUUCCUGGCAGAGCUGGUGGUUUCUGCUCUCAGGUCGGAGCUGGAGUUGCGAGUGGGGGAGAAAGUUGAUUGGCAGCUUUGGAAGGUGUGGGAAGGGCUGGUUCUCACUGCUGCUGGUCAUCUUUAUCAGGUGAGUCCACUGGCCUGGCCGGGAGCAGGCCUGGGGUGUUUGCUACUUAUUGCGAGUUUUAGGUGAUACUGCGUCAGGGGACUUGGUCGUAGGAAGCUCCCAGGCUGUGAUGCGCCCUAUCCCUCGUUUAUAGGAUGAGAUGAGACUGCUGCCGCGUUCCCGUCCAUGUAGAAUGAAUCAGCCCUGGCCCCAGCCACACUUUUUCCAUAUAAACUGCAUCUCUACCAGAGUGUCUCAGUCCCGGGACCGCCGUUGGGCAGGUGGGCACUGUCCAGCCCCUGGUGCCUCAGCGUGGUCUGUGGGCAGCACAGGUGACCUCUGAGCUCACUAGAAAGGCAGUCUCAGUCUGCAGUGCAAAAAUCUGUCUGAGGUUUAGCAGGAUGCGUGGGUAAUUCGCCCAGAGUAAAGUGUGAAAAGUGGCUUAUGUCCACUGCUCUCAGCAUCAGGUGUGAACCCCUCAGGCGUAGGUCACCUGUGUCAGGUGUGAACCCCUCAGGCGUAGGUCACCUGUGUCAGGUGUGAACCCCUCAGGCGUAGGUCACCUGUGUCAGGUGUGAACCCCUCAGGCGUAGGUCACCUGUGUCAGGUGUGAACCCCUCAGGCGUAGGUCACCUGUGUCAGGUGUGAACCCCUCAGGCGUAGGUCACCUGUGUCAGGUGUGAACCCCUCAGGCGUAGGUCACCUGUGUCAGGUGUGAACCCCUCAGGCGUAGGUCACCUGUGUCAGGUGUGAACCCCUCAGGUGUAGGUCACCUGUGUCAGGUGUGAACCCCUCAGGUGUAGGUCACCUGUGUCAGGUGUGAACCCCUCAGGCGUAGGUCACCUGUGUCAGGUGUGAACCCCUCAGGUGUAGGUCACCUGUGGCCCAGCUCCCUCUUUCCCACACAGGACUGUGCAGGCUGAGUCACUUUCCUGUGCUGCUCUGGGCUCCCAGGAGGGGGCGUGGUCAGGGUCAGAGACUGCCCUGGAGGGAAGGGUGGGGCUGGGAAUGGGCUUGGCCACAGGGAGCCCUGGAGGAAGAAGGGGCAGUCUCUCCAGGGAGGGAGGUGGGCGGCAAAGGAGAUGGCUCCUGAAUGCAGUCGCCCUCAAGGUCUGGUGAGGGUGGGCGGGAAAACCAGAAUAGGAGGGGAGUGAGGGGCACGGAGGCUGUGAUUGCAGCCUCUCCAGGAACAAGAGAACCAGGGCCAGCAAGAAAGGACCCAGGUGCAGGCCUUCAGGCUGCCCAGGGUGCGGGAACAGUGGAGCGGGGGCAGCGGGGUCUGACUCAGGAACUCCUGCGUGUGUGUCUACAAACACGUUUCCUUCCCCUGCCAAAUAAACAUGACCAGAAACACUAGGACCUCGUCACGAUCAGCAGCUCAGCCCCAGCAAGGCAAACGGCCAGGGGCUCCUGCCCAAGCCCUGGUGCCACUCAGGGUUUCUGAGGUUUUGGUCCCUGAUGCAGUAGGACUUUAAAAAUCUGGCAUUUUAGCAUGCGUUAUGAGCAAGGCAGGAUUUGGCAUCCUUGCCACAGAAAAUGCACACGUGUGCUCACUGCUCUCUCUCUGUCACGCACACACACCGCCUCUUAUUUGGAAAGCCAGUUAUGAAUGACGGUGGUUUCGUGGUGAGAAAUUUUCUCCGCCCUCCCUCCCUGCCACAUCUGCCGCUUUCGGUACUGUGCCAGGUUAGUCUGAGGCUGGCGGCAGGUUGGGGUUUGUCCAGCACGGGGGCCCUGGGUGCUGCGAGGACAAGGAAGAAGCUGGGCAGUCGGGUAAGGAGAUGAAAGUAAGAGUGGGCAGGAGACACAGAUGGCUGUGAUGGUUUAAAGGGAAACAAGAUAAAGUAACUCCAGACUCAGACCAGGAGGAAUGUGAGACUAGGAAAACGGAGUGGACCCUAACCCUAGCUCGUGCCCCUGUCAGGUGGAGAGAGUUGUUGGGAACAUGGGGAGGAGCAGCUCUGCGUGGUGUUGGGGUCCUCUCACCCCGAAGUUGUGAGAGUGCAAAGCAACACCACCCCUGUGCCUUUUCACGGUGUUCUGCGAGAAGGGGAUGCCCAGACCACCCCAGGACACAGCUCGACUGGAGCCCAAAGCUUCCUCUGGCCUUUUUUGCUUUCUGUCCUGAAUAGCUGCAGCUGUUUCUAAAAACAGACAGCUCCAUCUUGUUUCUCCUGCAGCCACCGACGCCUUCAUCUGGUGCCUUCUGACUUUUGGUUGACUAUGCGGGCCCAGCCCGGGAGCCAGGGCUGCACA